GGUGACGCUGAUGCUGCUGGUCCCAGGACCACCUUUGGUGAACCACUGCACUAAUGAGUGGCUGAGAGUGCUUUGAAUCAGUGGAAGGCACAGCCAGCACUUCCCCAUCCUACAAAACUUGCCUAUCCUGAGCCCAAGACGGAACCAACCAGACAGGAAAAUAAGUAAACAGCUCUGCUCUCUCACCCAAUAUGAGACAUUGUUCACCCUGGGCAGACGCAUGGCUCUAAUAUUGUCCUUGAGUUUGUUUUGGGGCAAUCAGCAAUUAAAGGAGACUUUUAUGGCGCUUUAAUAACACACCAUGUGGGAUGGGCCCCAACACCUCUCACUGAAAUCAAGGCAGCUGCAGAUUCCAGGUUCUUAGCCUGGCAACUGACAGGGGCCAGAGUGGUGGCCGGAUGUCGGGCAGCCCCACCUGGGGAAGGCAUGCUCUGAAGUUCCUCUAUGGGCCUUCCCCGAGUUGCUGCUUCCUCCUGAAGCAGGCCUCCAGAACUUCAUUCAUUUACAAAGCCAAAGGAAUGUGGAGGUCCACACACUGGAGGUAGCGUGAUUCAGCAGUCUGCUCUGGCCUCCCGCAUUCUGGGGCAGAGAACACUAGGCUUGGAGUGAAGGAACACAGGUUCCAGGCCUGCUCAUCCCUAACUGCAUAUGUGACCUCAAGCAGCGAGUGUCUCACUAUUACUGAAUCUGUUAUUUCUUCUGUCAAGCGAAAAAAAUGAAUCCGUCCUGUCUAAUUUAUAAGGUUAUCACAAAUGGCAUAAUGAUGCUGUAUGACAUUAUUUAUUUUUAUUAGUAUUGUUGUUAUUUUUUUCUAGGACAGGAUUAUUUGCCCAAAAGCAGCUUCACAACUAUUCUGGGACACUUUCCUGAGCCCCUCCCUCCUAUAUUUUUUGUCCGAUGGUAUCUGUUUAUUCAUCAAACACUGUUUGAGCCUCUUCUCCUUGCCAAGCCCUGCACCAAAUACCGCACUCCAAAAAUGAAGCUGACAAGAUUCUCAGCCUUAAAGAGCUGUCAGCCUGGUGGGAGUGCUCGCGAGUGUCAAACAACCCCCUUCCAGCGGAUGUGUUGAUAGGAGGCUGUGGGGAGGGCAGAGGGCGGAGGGCGCUCUGAAGCACAGGUGAGGCCUGAGGCAGAGACAGUUCCCACCCAGUAUUUGUUCUUCCUUCUUUCUUAGUAACAGAACUCCCAAUUUUUAGUUUGAUAUAGGACCACCCAGAGUAAAGACUAUAUUUUCCAUUCUCCCAGGCAGCUAAAUGUGACCAUGUGACUAAGUUCCUGCCAAUGAAAUGUAAUUGAGAAUGGUAUGGGGAUACUUUUAGAAAACUUCCUUAAACAGCAAUUGGCAUGUGCCCUUUCCCCUUACCCCUUCCUCCAUCCUGUUGCCUGGAAUGCAGAGGUGUUGGCUAGAAGUCCAGCUGGAUCUUAAACCACGAGGAUAAGGAUGUUCUUGCGAUGAGAGAGCAGUGAACUGGAAGGGAUCUGGAUCCCUAACAGCUUUGUGUACCAGUCCUGGGCUGCCCAUCUCCAGAAAUCAUUAACACGAGAGAAAGGAAAUGUCUGUCUCAUUUUUAAGGCACCGUUAUUUUGGCUUUUCUGACAUAUGCAACUGAGCCUAAUUCCAGCUAAUUCAAGGCCAGAUUGUGAGUGGCCUGAGGACUUGGACUUUAUUUUAUAGGCAAGAAAGAGCUAUAGACAGUUUAUAAACUGUGGAGUAACUUGAUGUGGAGAGAAAAAGGAAGAAAAAAUAAAAAUGACCCAAGAUGUAAAGAGAUUGUGGAAACUUAUUUCUGUUGAUAGAAAUUAGGAACUCCAGUUUAGAGGGAAGGGUGAUGAGCACGGUUUUAGACUUGUGGAUUUUGAGGCAACUGCAACGAUUCCAUGUUAAAGAAUCCAAAAGGCAGCUCGGUUAGAAGUGAAUCUUGACAGAGAGGUAAAGACCAGAGCUAGAGCUUUGAAAUCACUCACGUAAAAGUAAUAGCUGACAUACUACAACAUGGAUGAAACCUGAGGAGGUUAUCCUAAGUGAGA
rnacentral:lncRNA from 1 species